GAGAUAGGAGAUGGAGGGUACAAAGUCUCAGGAAAAUCACUUUGGUGUCUGAGGGGAUGGAUUGGAGCAGGGAAGAGACUUGAUCUGAGGAGACCAACUACUCUGCUAUUGCAGUAGUUCAGCAAUUAGGGCUUGGUGGAAGCAGGGGAAGCUGGAGAAUGCAUGGAUGGGGAAGAUGGCGCUGAGAAUUCAAUUAACGACAGUGAGCUGCAAAUCACUGGAGACGAAAUUUGCUCAUGUUAUAAAAACAUAAUGAAAUGUAAUGUUAAUGAUGAAAUAUAACAUUGCAACAC